GAUGAACGCUGGCGGCGUGCCUAAUACAUGCAAGUCGAGCGAACGGACGAGAAGCUUGCUUCUCUGAUGUUAGCGGCGGACGGGUGAGUAACACGUGGAUAACCUACCUAUAAGACUGGGAUAACUUCGGGAAACCGGAGCUAAUACCGGAUAAUAUUUUGAACCGCAUGGUUCAAAAGUGAAAGACGGUCUUGCUGUCACUUAUAGAUGGAUCCGCGCUGCAUUAGCUAGUUGGUAAGGUAACGGCUUACCAAGGCAACGAUGCAUAGCCGACCUGAGAGGGUGAUCGGCCACACUGGAACUGAGACACGGUCCAGACUCCUACGGGAGGCAGCAGUAGGGAAUCUUCCGCAAUGGGCGAAAGCCUGACGGAGCAACGCCGCGUGAGUGAUGAAGGUCUUCGGAUCGUAAAACUCUGUUAUUAGGGAAGAACAUAUGUGUAAGUAACUGUGCACAUUUUGACGGUACCUAAUCAGAAAGCCACGGCUAACUACGUG
rnacentral:rRNA from 1 species